UACGUAGGGUGCGAGCGUUAAUCGGAAUUACUGGGCGUAAAGGGCUCGUAGGCGGCCAACUAAGUCGGACGUGAAAUCCCUCGGCUUAACCGGGGAACUGCGUCCGAUACUGGAUGGCUUGAGUUCGGGAGAGGGAUGCGGAAUUCCAGGUGUAGCGGUGAAAUGCGUAGAUAUCUGGAGGAACACCGGUGGCGAAGGCGGCAUCCUGGACCGACACUGACGCUGAGGAGCGAAAGCCAGGGGAGCAAACGGG
rnacentral:rRNA from 1 species